CCUACGGGUGUCAGCAGUCGGGAAUAUUGCGCAAUGGAGGAAACUCUGACGCAGUGACGCCGCGUGCAGGAAGAAGGUUUUCGGAUUGUAACCUGCUUUAGACAGGGGAGAAAAAAGAGAGUACCUGUAGGAUAAGCUCCGGCUAACUACGUGCCAGCAGCCGCGGUCAUACGGAGGGAGCGAGCGUUAUCCGGAUUUAUUGGGGGUAAAGGGUGGGUAGACGGUGAAGGAAGUUGGUUGUGAAAUACCUGGGCUUAACUGAGGAACUGCAACUAAAACUACUUCACUUGAGUACUGGAGAGGAAAGUGGAAUUCCUAGUGUAGCGGUGAAAUGCGUAGAUAUUAGGAGGAACACCAGUGGCGAAGGCGACUUUCUGGACAGUAACUGACGUUGAGGCACGAAAGUGUGGGGAGCAAACAGGAUUAGAUACCCUUGUAGUC
rnacentral:rRNA from 1 species